UGCGUCUAUAUCAAGGUUAAACACCGGUUCUCGUACGAUCAUCGAAGUUAAGCAACGUCGAGUCUGUCAAGUGCUUAGAUGGGUAACCGCUUGCAGAUACCAUAUAUUG